UGAGAAACCCACUGCGGUCCAGACGCUACAGGAGGCCCUCCCUCUGUUUCUCUUUUUGCUUGUUAGUGUUCCAGAACACUUCGUUUUCAAGGGCAGAGAGAGGAAGAAUCGUGGAGUUUUGAGGGACCCAUGAAGCUCUCAGAUCUGAAUGCCAAGUCUCAGGCUCUGCCAAAGCAGAAGGGAUGCUAAGUCCCUUCUGGGCCAGGACAAAAUGGAUCCAGGCAGGACCAGCUGGAUGAAGGUCUUUGUUUGAAUCACUCUCUAUUCACUGAGUGGCCCUGCCUGUAUCAAGCCAUCGUGGGGACCUGGAGCUGCCACAGAGGAAGGAAGUGGCCAUCUGUGCGCUAAAGUUCGCAGUCCAGUGGGCAAGACACAUAGCCUAACAAACAACGAGGGUUCUUCUGUGUGUCUAUGUGCUGCUGGCCCACCCCACUGCUGGAGGAGUCUGAGCCCACUGCCUUCCCCCUCUUCUCAACAUCUGUACCUGCUGGUUCUUCUCCUGAUGAGGUCUACCCAUCCUUCCAGACCCAAUGGCAGUGUCAACUCACCUGAGGAAGCCUCCUUCUGUCCCAAGUUGAGUCAGUGGCCUACCUGUCCAUCAAACUGGCCAGGCUCCCUGAGCUCCUCUCUUCCAAGACACCGGGCACUGGUCCUUUGUUUCCCCCCAGUGCGAGCUCCUCAAG